CAACAAGCUCUAACACGUUUAUUCCUCUUCGAUUCCCCCUCUCUCCUUCGUCCUCACUAAACCGGCGAGAUAGCCCCCAGUUCAUAAAAAAGUGAAGACCUCUCAUUCUCUCUAGCUAUCGAAACACCACCGGGCACGACUCACACCGUCAUGCAAUCGCUCCCAUUCUUGUGCUCAUUUCCGCUACGGUGCUUGAUUCUGCUUGUAAGACGCGCAGGCUGUUUUGAGGCAAAAUGGAUGACACGACUUUAGUGCAAUGUUGUCAUUUUGCUCUCACAUGUAUGAGCAUGGGCAUGUACAGGCAGUCAAACACAAUGCAUUUAGCAACCAUUUUUCCAGAUGUAAACCCAACUUCGUCAACACCAGUGAGCCACAAAUUUGUUGGUACUCAUCAGGGUUUGAGCUUAAUCAAAUUGAGAGUUGAAUGGCGAUGGAUGUGCUCUUGAAAAGUCAAUUAUGAAGUUUCGAUACACCAGAAUCGUGAAAGAUGAUGACAAUGUAAAUCAGAAAGUUCUAGGUUGAUAAAAACUGCUACUCAAAACAUCGAUCACUGAUUGAUGCUGUAAAACUCUACCAGGAGUAUUUGGGAUUUGCAGGAGAGGGACAAAAGAUUAGAGAACAUGUUCAUUAAUGGGAUUGUUAAACAAUUUGCCCGCAAUGUCAAAAUAGUUGAGUAAAUAAGAAACAGAGCAACCUAUGCCUGUUGGAUUGAGAGCUAUCAGUUCCUAGUUGAGUCGAAUCCAAGAAUUCAUGUUUCCAAAUUGUCUAUCUCUUCUCAGGUCCUUCCCAAAUUCCUUUCUUCCUUGCUUCCCCCGUAAAAUUACCAUACAAUUU